GAUGAACGCUGGCGGCGUGCCUAAUACAUGCAAGUCGAACGCUGAAGGAAGGAGCUUGCUCUUUCCGGAUGAGUUGCGAACGGGUGAGUAACGCGUAGGUAACCUGCCUGGUAGCGGGGGAUAACUAUUGGAAACGAUAGCUAAUACCGCAUAACAGUAGAUGUUGCAUGAUAUCUACUUAAAAGGUGCAAUUGCACCACUACCAGAUGGACCUGCGUUGUAUUAGCUAGUUGGUGAGGUAACGGCUCACCAAGGCGACGAUACAUAGCCGACCUGAGAGGGUGAUCGGCCACACUGGGACUGAGACACGGCCCAGACUCCUACGGGAGGCAGCAGUAGGGAAUCUUCGGCAAUGGACGGAAGUCUGACCGAGCAACGCCGCGUGAGUGAAGAAGGGUUUCGGAUCGUAAAGCUCGGUUGUAAGAGAAGAACGAGUGUGAGAGUGGAAAGUUCACACUGUGACGGUAGCUUACCAGAAAGGGACGGCUAACUACGUG
rnacentral:rRNA from 1 species